rnacentral:rRNA from 1 species
AGGACGAACGCUGGCGGCGUGCCUAAUACAUGCAAGUGGAACGCAAGGGAACACACCGUGCUUGCACAUCGUGUUUUCUUGAGUCGCGAACGGGUGAGUAACGCGUAGGUAACCUGCCUAUUAGCGGGGGAUAACUAUUGGAAACGAUAGCUAAUACCGCAUAAGAGAGUUUAACACAUGUUAGACGCUUGAAAGAUGCAAGAGCAUCACUAGUAGAUGGACCUGCGUUGUAUUAGCUAGUAGGUAGGGUAAAGGCCUACCUAGGCGACGAUACAUAGCCGACCUGAGAGGGUGACCGGCCACACUGGGACUGAGACACGGCCCAGACUCCUACGGGAGGCAGCAGUAGGGAAUCUUCGGCAAUGGGGGGAACCCUGACCGAGCAACGCCGCGUGAGUGAAGAAGGUUUUCGGAUCGUAAAGCUCUGUUGUCAGAGACGAACGUGUGUGAGAGUGGAAAGUUCACACAGUGACGGUAACUGACCAGAAAGGGACGGCUAACUACGUGCCAGCAGCCGCGGUAAUACGUAGGUCCCGAGCGUUGUCCGGAUUUAUUGGGCGUAAAGCGAGCGCAGGCGGUUUUGUAAGUCUGAAGUCAAAGGCAGUGGCUUAACCAUUGUGUGCUUUGGAAACUGCAGGACUUGAGUGCAGAAGGGGAGAGUGGAAUUCCAUGUGUAGCGGUGAAAUGCGUAGAUAUAUGGAGGAACACCGGUGGCGAAAGCGGCUCUCUGGUCUGUAACUGACGCUGAGGCUCGAAAGCGUGGGUAGCGAACAGGAUUAGAUACCCUGGUAGUCCACGCCGUAAACGCUGAGUGCUAGGUGUUAGGCCCUUUCCGGGGCUUAGUGCCGGAGCUAACGCAUUAAGCACUCCGCCUGGGGAGUACGACCGCAAGGUUGAAACUCAAAGGAAUUGACGGGGGCCCGCACAAGCGGUGGAGCAUGUGGUUUAAUUCGAAGCAACGCGAAGAACCUUACCAGGUCUUGACAUCCCGAUGCCCGCUCUAGAGAUAGAGUUUUACUUUUGUACAUCGGUGACAGGUGGUGCAUGGUUGUCGUCAGCUCGUGUCGUGAGAUGUUGGGUUAAGUCCCGCAACGAGCGCAACCCUUAUUGUUAGUUGCCAUCAUUGAGUUGGGCACUCUAGCGAGACUGCCGGUAAUAAACCGGAGGAAGGUGGGGAUGACGUCAAAUCAUCAUGCCCCUUAUGACCUGGGCUACACACGUGCUACAAUGGUCGGUACAACGAGUCGCGAGCCGGUGACGGCAAGCUAAUCUCUGAAAGCCGAUCUCAGUUCGGAUUGGAGGCUGCAACUCGCCUCCAUGAAGUCGGAAUCGCUAGUAAUCGCGGAUCAGCACGCCGCGGUGAAUACGUUCCCGGGCCUUGUACACACCGCCCGUCACACCACGAGAGUUUGUAACACCCGAAGUCGGUGAGGUAACCGUUAAG